rnacentral:rRNA from 1 species
GACGAACGCUGGCGGCGUGCCUAAUACAUGCAAGUAGAACGCUGAAGGAGGAGCUUGCUUCUCUGGAUGAGUUGCGAACGGGUGAGUAACGCGUAGGUAACCUGCCUGGUAGCGGGGGAUAACUAUUGGAAACGAUAGCUAAUACCGCAUAAGAGUAGAUGUUGCAUGACAUUUGCUUAAAAGGUGCAAUUGCAUCACUACCAGAUGGACCUGCGUUGUAUUAGCUAGUUGGUGGGGUAACGGCUCACCAAGGCGACGAUACAUAUGCCAGACCUGAGAGGGUGAUCGGCCACACUGGGACUGAGACACGGCCCAGAGCUCCUACGGGAGGCAGCAGUAGGGAAUCUUCGGCAAUGGACGGAAGUCUGACCGAGCAACGCCGCGUGAGUAAGAAGGUUU